rnacentral:misc_RNA from 1 species
UCGCGGCUUAUCACCGGCAGUCCCCUUAGAGUGCCCAACUGAAUGAUGGCAACUAAGGGCGAGGGUUGCGCUCGUUGCGGGACUUAACCCAACACCUCACGACACGAGCUGACGACAGCCAUGCAGCACCUGUCUUACGGUUCCCAAAGGCACCCUCCUGUUUCCAGGAGGUUCCGUAGAUGUCAAGACCAGGUAAGGUUCUUCGCGUUGCAUCGAAUUAAGCCACAUACUCCACCGCCUGUGCGGGCCCCCGUCAAUUCCUUUGAGUUUUAGUCUUGCGACCGUACUCCCCAGGCGGGAAGCUUAAUGCGUUAGCUGCGCCACCGACAAGUAAACUUGCCAACGGCUAGCUUCCAUCGUUUACGGCGUGGACUAC